GCAGCUGCAAUUUAUCGUUGCAUUUACUGUCGCGUUGGUACAAUGAAUUUACUACAAUAUUGCCGUCGGUAUACCGUAUCUCACGACGCGUGCCAUCCGCGUACCUUAACUAAUACAUAAAUCCAAUGAUAAUAUUUAUCAUAUAGGGUGAAGUAAGAGGAACAGGCUGGAUGGACGAGAGAGUAAAGAAGAAGAAGAAGAAGAAGAAGAGGAAGAAGAAGAGAAAAAGAAAGGAACAAGAAAAGCAAAAGAAAAGGAAAAAAAAAAGUGGGCUAUAAGAAGUCUUUGCGAGUAUUAAGAAACCUUAUCGAUAUUGAGUCUGGUGAACACAAUUAGAUUCGUCGUAGAUCAAGAGAGCGCCAUUAGCUGCGACAAGAAGUUAACGAUUAUCUCGACAAACAUAUAAUAGCUUUCAAGGAAGAAAGUGGAAGGCGACGACGGCUUUGGAUUUGUGAUCCCUUCGCCAGGAAAAUAAGACGAGCGUACCUCCGUCCUCUCAACUUUCCACGACUCGGAUAGAGCUUAUUGAGAAUUUUAUGGUGAAAGAGACCAGGAGAUUCUUAUUCGCAUACUUCUAAUAUCUCAAAGGACGGAAUAGUCCUUAAAGGGAAGAAACCUUGACAGGCAAGCUGCCAGGCAGCCAGGACGAAGACGACGCUUGUCGGUGAUGACGCGACACUACCGGAGUUAAGUGGCGAAACGCGCGGAUGGCAAAAGUAAAAAGAAAAGAAAAGGAAAAAAAGAAGAAGAAGUCCAAUGAAAAAAACCGACUCGAAACCGAAGCGAAGCGAAGCGGCUAAAACAAAAGAGGUGCGGAGGUGUGACGAAACGCCGAGAUCGGUGAAGAAGGAGGAGAAGGAGGAGGAAGAGGAGGAGGAGGACCGACCCCUCCGAUCUACACCUUUCUCUUUCUCUCGAUUCAUUCCCGAAUCCUUCUCCCUUACCCUCUCCCUAUUCUUUUUAGCCUUUAGCUUACGGAUCUUUCAAAAAAAAGUUCAUUCUUCACGAGCCACCUUGUGUAUCGUCUCCUCCUCCUCCUCCUCCUCCUCCUCCUUCUCUACCCUUCCUCACCCUCCAACGCCCGCUCACCAACCGAUUCUUUCGUUCGAUUCAAUUUCUAUAUAUCUGCUUUAUCGAUCUUCAUGAAAAAAAAAAAAAAGAAAUGUAAUUAUACAUAUAUAUGUAUACACAUAUAAAAAUAUCUUAUAUGAAAAAGGAAAUAAAUUGUAUAUAUAUAUAU